AUUGAACGCUGGCGGCAUGCUUUACACAUGCAAGUCGAACGGCAGCGCGGGGCAACCUGGCGGCGAGUGGCGAACGGGUGAGUAAUACAUCGGAACGUACCCAGAAGUGGGGGAUAACGUAGCGAAAGUUACGCUAAUACCGCAUACGUUCUACGGAAGAAAGUGGGGGAUCUUCGGACCUCAUGCUUUUGGAGCGGCCGAUGUCUGAUUAGCUAGUUGGUGAGGUAAAGGCUCACCAAGGCGACGAUCAGUAGCUGGUCUGAGAGGACGACCAGCCACACUGGGACUGAGACACGGCCCAGACUCCUACGGGAGGCAGCAGUGGGGAAUUUUGGACAAUGGGCGCAAGCCUGAUCCAGCAAUGCCGCGUGAGUGAAGAAGGCCUUCGGGUUGUAAAGCUCUUUUGUCAGGGAAGAAACGGCUGGGGCCAAUAUCCCCGGCUAAUGACGGUACCUGAAGAAUAAGCACCGGCUAACUACGUGCCAGCCGCCGCAGUAACAC
rnacentral:rRNA from 1 species